rnacentral:rRNA from 1 species
GACGUAGGGCGCGAGCGUUGUCCGGAUUUAUUGGGCGUAAAGAGCUCGUAGGCGGCUCAUUGCGUCAACCGUGAAAACCAGCAGCUCAACUGUUGGCUUGCGGUUGAUACGGGUGGGCUGGAGUUCGGUAGGGGAGACUGGAAUUCCUGGUGUAGCGGUGAAAUGCGCAGAUAUCAGGAGGAACACCGGUGGCGAAGGCGGCGUUCUGGACUGCUACUGACACUGAGGAACGAAAGCCAGGGGAGCAAACGGG